rnacentral:rRNA from 1 species
UGAACGCUAGCUACAGGCUUAACACAUGCAAGUCGAGGGGAAACGACAUCGAAAGCUUGCUUUUGAUGGGCGUCGACCGGCGCACGGGUGAGUAACGCGUAUCCAACCUGCCCACCACUUGGGAAUAACCUUGCGAAAGUAAGACUAAUACCCAAUGACGUCUCUAGAAGACAUCUGAAGGAGAUUAAAGAUUUAUCGGUGAUGGAUGGGGAUGCGUCUGAUUAGCUUGUUGGCGGGGUAACGGCCCACCAAGGCGACGAUCAGUAGGGGUUCUGAGAGGAAGGUCCCCCACAUUGGAACUGAGACACGGUCCAAACUCCUACGGGAGGCAGCAGUGAGGAAUAUUGGUCAAUGGACGAGAGUCUGAACCAGCCAAGUAGCGUGCAGGAUGACGGCCCUAUGGGUUGUAAACUGCUUUUAUAAGGGAAUAAAGUGAGCCUCGUGAGGCUUUUUGCAUGUACCUUAUGAAUAAGGACCGGCUAAUUCCGUGCCAGCAGCCGCGGUAAUACGGAAGGUCCGGGCGUUAUCCGGAUUUAUUGGGUUUAAAGGGAGCGUAGGCCGGAGAUUAAGCGUGUUGUGAAAUGUAGACGCUCAACGUCUGCACUGCAGCGCGAACUGGUUUCCUUGAGUACGCACAAAGUGGGCGGAAUUCGUGGUGUAGCGGUGAAAUGCUUAGAUAUCACGAAGAACUCCGAUUGCGAAGGCAGCUCACUGGAGCGCAACUGACGCUGAAGCUCGAAAGUGCGGGUAUCGAACAGGAUUAGAUACCCUGGUAGUCCGCACGGUAAACGAUGGAUGCCCGCUGUUGGUCUGAAUAGGUCAGCGGCCAAGCGAAAGCAUUAAGCAUCCCACCUGGGGAGUACGCCGGCAACGGUGAAACUCAAAUGAAUUGACGG